GUAGUCUUACUGACGUUCAUGCUCGAAGGUGCGGGUAUCGAACAGGAUUAGAUACCCUGGUAGUCCGCACGGUAAACGAUGGAUGCCCGCUGUUUGCGAUACACAGUAAGCGGCCAAGCGAAAGCAUUAAGCAUCCCACCUGGGGAGUACGCCGGCAACGGUGAAACUCAAAGGAAUUGACGGGGGCCCGCACAAGCGGAGGAACAUGUGGUUUAAUUCGAUGAUACGCGAGGAACCUUACCCGGGCUUGAACUGCAGCGGAAGGAUACAGAGAUGUUGACGUCCUUCGGGACCGCUGCGGAGGUGCUGCAUGGUUGUCGUCAGCUCGUGCCGUGAGGUGUCGGCUUAAGUGCCAUAACGAGCGCAACCCCUGCGGUCAGUUGCCAUCAGUUAGAGCUGGGCACUCUGGCCGGACUGCCACCGCAAGGUGUGAGGAAGGUGGGGACGACGUCAAAUCAGCACGGCCCUUACGUCCGGGGCUACACACGUGUUACAAUGGGGAGCACAGCGAGUCGGCCGCCCGCAAGGUCGGUCCAAUCAUGAAACCUCCCCUCAGUUCGGACUGGGGUCUGCAACCCGACCCCACGAAGCUGGAUUCGC
rnacentral:rRNA from 1 species